rnacentral:rRNA from 1 species
UACGGGGGGGGCAAGCGUUGUUCGGAAUUACUGGGCGUAAAGGGCGCGUAGGCGGCCUGCUAAGUCGGACGUGAAAUCCCCCGGCUCAACCGGGGAACUGCGUCCGAUACUGGUGGGCUCGAAUCCGGGAGAGGGAUGUGGAAUUCCAGGUGUAGCGGUGAAAUGCGUAGAUAUCUGGAGGAACACCGGUGGCGAAGGCGGCAUCCUGGACCGGCAUUGACGCUGAGGCGCGAAAGCCAGGGGAGCAAACAGG